CACGGCACGGCCCUAGGGAGCGGUUCUGCCCCUCGAGGUCCUGUGGGGCUCAUCCCCCUCGGAGGCCGGGGACGUGUCGCGGCUGGAGGGGGUGCGGGGCCGGCGGGGAGCCCCCCCGGCUUGGCAGACGUACCACUCGCUGAGAAACAAAGCGAAUCUACCGAACGGUGUGGCAAGUUUCGAUCUGUAUUAGCCCAAGGACGGAGGCUCACAUCUCGCUGCCGGCAGCGGCCCGCGGAGUCCCCCAGGCUUAGCCCCCCUGAGAGGUGCUCAGAGCUGCCAGAACAAACCACGGUCCCCGUUGUCGGGGCUUCAGGGAAGUGUCUUUCCCCGUGGGCUCACGCGUGGGCAUCCUCCCGAGGGGUGCACAGCCCCCGGGUAGCUCCACCUCGCCAGCCUCCGGAUCGCGACGAUCCAAUUGCACACAAAUCCAGAAGCGGAGAAAGUCCCGGAGUGUCCCUGGCACGCUGACGAGGGCGUCACGUCAGAGUUUAACCAUUUGUAGGUGGCUUCAACCCAAGGAAGGGGGCGAAAUGCCGGGCGCCGUCCCCUGACUCGUCCCGGUAGCAGCAGCGUCGGCGGCGGGACACACACACAGAGGGGCUUUGGGGUCACAUUUGUGAGGGGCAGUAGCGGGGGGUGGGGGUAGAGGAAUCGUCAGGGGGAAGCUGGGCGAUCCUGAGCACCGUCUCCGGCAAAGGAGCAGCGAUUUUUCGGGGAAGUGGGGACGGUCCCCGUCGCCAUUAGGAUGAACCAGGGGUAGGGACAGCGCUUUGUCCCCAAAAUGGUGCUGGAUCCGCAAGGCGCGGUGUGCAACUCCCGGGGUGAUGCUUUCGAGGAAAACGGGGAAAACACCAAGCAAUUAAAUGCCUUCUGGAUUACCGACAUACCCUUCUUCCUGCAGGGUUACCAGAAACAUGCAAAAUCCCCAAAUGAUACAAUUGCUGUGUUAUUGUUCUCACCUCUUCCCCAAAAUUGCCCAUAAUAAACGAAUAGUUAGUAAAUCUC